GACCUACCGGACCCAAUUUUUUUUUCCAUCUCAGCCUGCUGAGUUUUUUUUUGUGCACCACCAUGCCUGGUUUUUUUUUUUAUUUUUUGUAGAGACGUUUUUUUUUCUAUGUUGCCCAGGCUGGUUUUUUUUUCCUGUCUUCAAACGGUGCUUUUUUUUUGGCCUCCCAAAGUAUUGGUUUUUUUUUUGUGACCCACUGCGCCCAUUUUUUUUUACUCUUUUUAAGAAAAUAUUUUUUUUUAAGCAACGGGUUCUGAAAUUUUUUUUUGGACAAUUAGUGUCAUGGUUUUUUUUUGAAAAAGGGCUCACUAUGUUGAUUAGUGGGUCUGGAGGAUAUUGGAUCCCAAACCCAAGAAGGUGGCACCCAAGAAGAAUUACAUUUUAAAAAUUAUAAAGAUUUUUUUAAUGAAAAAUAUUGGAUCAAUAAAUUAAUUUCUACCCAGUCUUCUGAAAGGUGAGAGCAUAGAAAUAUGUGUCUGGCAUUCUUCCAAAUACUUGAGCAGUUUCCCAAGCGUCAGUUCACCUUUUGAAGACUGGCAGGGAUGAGAAAGUCUGACUUACUCUGUUUUGUAUUUUGUGUAUAAAUACACACAAAGGGCUGGGGUUUAGAUUUUAAUUCUUUUUUUUUUUUUUUGGCUGUGCUGAUUUAAUCCUGAAGUAUUAGCCAUCCUGCCAGUUCCAUCAUGAGAAUACUGGAGAUGCAUGGAGGUUUUUUUAGUGCACUUCAUAUAUGAGGACUUGAAAGCAUUUCACUUUUACUACUUUGAGUGAAUAACCUGACUUGAUGCUACAUGCAGUAAAUAUUCUUGAAUCAUUUUUUAUUUUUAUAAAUUGAAUCAUGUUGAAUGUUCUGAGCCUUAGUGUCUGAAGGAUCCUGUGAUCUAGGUUUUCAUGUUUGUGAUCAUGUGUAUGUGAAGAACCUAGCCAGGGGUAAGUUUGCAGCGAGAAAUGUACAGUCUAUUGGCAUGGCAUUUGCUAAGUUUUUUCCUUUUUUUUUUUAACAUGUUUGUCUCCUUUUUUUUUUACCUAGUGUGUAGAUGAAUUUUUUUUUUCUUUUUCCUAGGCCUUAUUUUUUUUUGUCAUAAAUUUCUUGUAGUUUUUUUUUAUGUUAAUAAUUCCAACUUUUUUUUUUAAAUUUAGAGUAGAAUAAUUUUUUUUUUAAGUUGAAUUUCAUUUAUUUUUUUUUAUAAUUUUUCAGAAGGGAUUUUUUUUUUUGCUAAUGAUAGAAUUGUUUUUUUUUGCCGGGCGUGGUGGCUCAUUUUUUUUUUCCUAACACUUUGGGAGGUUUUUUUUUGCAGAUCACUUGAGGUCAUUUUUUUUUAACCAGCCUGGUCAACAUUUUUUUUUUCCAUCUCUACUAAAACUAUUUUUUUUUUAGCUGGGCGCAGUGGCGUUUUUUUUUAAUCCCAGCCUCCAGAGUAGCUGGGAUUACAGGCAUGCGCCACCACACCUGGCUAAUUUUUGUAUUUUGAGUAGAGUCUGGGUUUUACCAUGUUGGCCAGGCUGGUCUUGAACUCCCGACCUCAGGUAAUCUGCCUGCCUUGGCCACCCAAAGUGCUGGGAUUAUAGGCAUGAACCACCAUGCCCGGCCAUGUUCCCUUUUUAAAAAUGUGUGUAAGGAAGGGGCUUACUAUGCAAGCACUUGGAGGCCAAGGAGCACUGAAAAUGAGGAGAGAGUUCAAAAAUCAAGUUAGAUUCUGGGAUACACCAACAAAUCUGGACACUACAGUUCUUUUAGAGAAACCUGGGGACGAAAAGUAAGGCUUUUGACCUCAGAAAAUGAACAUACGGGAAAAAUAAUGUGUCCUAAUGAAAUUUCUCUGGUAUUCACAUGUUAUAAAAUGUUAGGAAGAGGGAAAAUGUAUCCUCCUACAAGCCAUAAAUCAGAAUUCUAAUAAUCUAAAGCUAAUUAGAAAAAUAUUACAUGUUAAAUAUUAAAUAUUAGAAAAAAUUUAUGAGGGGAAAAAAAUUCAGGACACAGCUGAAUUUUUCAGGCUGUUCCAGCACUAAAAAAAAUUACAGGAGAGGAAUGUCACAUAUUUUCCUCUUCGUCCCCCUCCAGAUUCCAUAAUAUCGAAUUCAUUACUUUUCAUUUGUGCAUGUCUUAUUUUCCAUUCCUUAUUUGUCACUAAUCCUGUUAGUAAAAGGAUUCCCCCACCUAAGUUCAUAAUUAAGUUUUGGUCUAAAAAGAACUAUAAACAGAAGCACCGUUCCUAGAUUUCUAAUUUUUUUUUAUUUUGUCACAGCCAGUUAACUUAUUAAAUUGGAUACUUAAACACAUAGUACCAUAAACUGGGUGUGGUCCUGUAGCCUCCAGAUCUUCAGUUUUGACUUUGGCCCAAUUCUCCUAGAAGAACUUAAUUUUAAUUCGUUUUAUUGCCUAACAAUCCUAUUAAUAAUCCCGUUGGUUUCAAAGUGUAUUCUCAGGUUUCACAAGAGGCUGAAAUUUGGUCUUAGGGGUUGUCAGUUAAAAAUAACUAAUGUAAUUUUUGGCCGGGUGCAGUGGCUCAUACCUGUAAUCCAGCAGAUCAUGAGGUCAGGAGGUCGAGACCAGCCUCACCAACAUAAUGAAACUCCGUCUCUACUAAAAAUACAAAAAUUAGCCGGGCAUGGUGGUGGGUGCCUGUAAUCCCAGCUACUCAGGAGGCUGAGGCAGGAGAAUCCCUUGACCCCGGGAGGUGGAGGUUGCAGUGAGCCAACAUCAUUCCACUGACUCCAGCCUGGGUGACAGAGGGAGACUCCAUC